rnacentral:rRNA from 1 species
GUACGGAAGGCAGCAGUGAGGAAUAUUGGACAAUGGGCGCAAGCCUGAUCCAGCCAUGCCGCGUGCAGGAUGACGGUCCUAUGGAUUGUAAACUGCUUUUAUACGAGAAGAAACACUCCGACGUGUCGGAGCUUGACGGUAUCGUAAGAAUAAGGAUCGGCUAACUCCGUGCCAACAGCCGCGGUAAUACGGAGGAUCCAAGCGUUAUCCGGAAUCAUUGGGUUUAAAGGGUCCGUAGGCGGUUUAAUAAGUCAGUGGUGAAAGCCCAUCGCUCAACGGUGGAACGGCCAUUGAUACUGUUAGACUUGAAUUAUUAGGAAGUAACUAGAAUAUGUAGUGUAGCGGUGAAAUGCUUAGAGAUUACAUGGAAUACCAAUUGCGAAGGCAGGUUACUACUAAUGGAUUGACGCUGAUGGACGAAAGCGUGGGUAGCGAACAGGAUUAGAUACCCGCGU